UUUCCCGCUAGAUGCACGUUGUUCGUUUUGCGUAAAUAACGUGGCGCAUUCUUGUGUUAAUUAUUUUUAAUCUAUUGAAGCUAUUUUGGAAUCAGCAAACUUGCUCUAGCGAUGCUGCCUGGCUCAGUGAGAUAUGCACAAGUUGCAAAUUAACAAUUCGCAUAUCCGCACCGGGUUAUCCGGAGAAAAAUGUAAUCUCAGGCUGUGGAUUUUUUUCUAGUUACGACCGUACUAUGAGUAGUACAAACGAGUAUGAGUGUUCGUUAGCAGAUGAAUCCAGGUGAAUGUUUGAGUUUGACUAUUUCACUUUGUCCUCCACUGCAAAAGUAGGCUCAAACCCAACAAACAACCAGAUUGGAAAUGGCUUUGGUCUAGCUAAAAGGAUGAACAGAGAGGAUGGUAUGAAAAGAUUUCGAGCGAUGGCUGUGACUAAACAACACAAAGUGUCCACAGAUGGAUAAUUAAAUUACUCUUCGAAAAUUAUUUCUAUGUAUUAUUUUUCUAGGAUGAAGCGAGAUCUCAAAUGCCACACACAGAUUAGACAACACUGAUCGUUCGCGUAUUGGUAUUUUAGAGUGGAUAAUAGAACAAUACGAGGUUUUAUGGAAUACUGCUCAAAAAUGGAAUUUAAAAUUAUUCUAAUAUUUGGCGUAUCUUAAUUUGAAUUAAAGGCACUGAAGCUACGUCAUUUAAACUUCAGUAAAAAAAGAACGAUCAAAACGGGGCCAGACAAUAACGCGUGUUGAUUAUUUUUCGGGAAGAAUAACAUUAAAUAAAAAGUAUUCAGUUAAAGUUGCGAUUAAUCGAAUCCGAAUUGCCGGACCUAUCAUUUAACAUUAACAUCGUUCACUUCGUACGCCGCGGAAAUCCAAUUUGUCUUUGAUUACCUACUUCUCACUUCAAACAGUUUUUUAGGUUAGCUUCAGGUUCCACUUAGCUUCAGUCGUCUAUCACCACACAAUCGAACUUCGUCAGCAUCGUCGUGUACAUCCUCCGGUAUCGUGUUUUGACAGUUUUGUUUUAUUAAUCAUCGCAAUUUAGAGCCUUUUUCCUUUUAAGAAGUUGACAAUUCGGCUGUUUUUAGCUCGAUGCACGAUUGUUGACGGUAUGUUGACAUGAAGGGGCUUCUGGCACCGUCCCCGAUGUAAGCUCUCUAGUGAUAUACCAACGUUCCCUAAACACUUUUGAUACAGGGAUGACGGUUGAUUUGGCCACUUUCUUCUACUAGAAUAUCAUCGAAUCAUCGCACACAAAAUGAAGGAUUUGUGGAUUUUUUUAGGUUAACUAAAUUUUGGAAGUUAAACUCCCAGUAAUUUAAAUUCACUGUUCUCAAAGAGCUGAUAAACAAA